rnacentral:lncRNA from 1 species
AGAUCCACCCCAAGAAACUUUUGGGCGUAUAGCAAUCUGAAUGCUUUCUCUUUCAUUUCUUGCUGCUAAUAGUGAUAUCUAACAGAUAAAACUGCGAGUCACAUACCAUGAAACUCUUGUGACCAGAAAGACAACAGAAUUUCGAUCUUCUCGUCGUUUGAUUGUGAAGUUUAAGACUUAAGCAACAAAUGCAUAAGCAUAAAAGAAACUUUAAAUGGUUCUUCUAUAACCCCCGCAAGAGGAGGGGGGGGGGGGAAUUACCAGAUAAAACUGCAAGUCACAUACCAUGAAACUCUUGCGACCAGAAAGAAAACAGAAUUUCGAUCUACUCGUCAUUUGAUUGUGAAGUUUAAGACUGUAAGCAACAAAUGCAUAAGCAUAAAAGAAACUUUAAAUGGUUCUUCUAUAACCCCCGCAAGAGAGGGGGGGGGGGGGGGGGGGGAAAAA